AAAAUCAUCUGGUCCUUAACAGGUUUGAAAAUUAGAGCUCUUAACAAUGGGUCAAAGACCCAGGAGAUCCUUAAAGUGCUGUUGACCUUCAGGGACAUGGGUCUGAAGCUCCUAUAUGGAAUGAAGGAGACUAAGGAGUGCUCUGUCAUGAAAAGGUUAUAGGUGAGGUGUUCAUAUGCUACUUUCCAUCAUUAACUCUUGAUCACAAAGCACUUGUACAUGGAAAAAAAUCAGAAAAAAAGAUGUUUGCCUUUUAUUACCCCAUUUUGAGGCUCUUUUCACAUUUAAAAAAAA